UGGGGAAUAUUGCCCAAUGGACGAAAGUCUGAGGCAGCAACGCCGCGUGCGCGAUGAAGGCCUUCGGGUCGUAAAGCGCUUUUCGGGAGGAUGAGGAAGGACAGUACUCCCGGAAUAAGGUACGGCUAACUACGUGCCAGCAGCCGCGGUAAAACGUAGGUACCGAGCGUUAUCCGGAUUUACUGGGCGUAAAGCGUGUUCAGGCGGUCUGUCAAGUCGGGCAUGAAAGCUCCCGGCUCAACCGGGAGAGGUUGUCCGAUACUGGCAGACUUGAGGGCAGUAGAGGGUGGUGGAAUUCCGGGUGUAGUGGUGAAAUGCGUAGAUAUCCGGAGGAACACCAGUGGCGAAAGCGGCCACCUGGACUGCACCUGACGCUCAAACACGAAAGCUAGGGGAGCGAA
rnacentral:rRNA from 1 species